UUUAUCGGAGAGUUUGAUCCUGGCUCAGGACGAACGCUGGCGGCGUGCCUAAUACAUGCAAGUCGAGCGGACAGAUGGGAGCUUGCUCCCKGAUGUUAGCGGCGGACGGGUGAGUAACACGUGGGUAACCUGCCUGUAAGACUGGGAUAACUCCGGGAAACCGGGGCUAAUACCGGAUGGUUGUUUGAACCGCAUGGUUCAAACAUAAAAGGUGGCUUCGGCUACCACUUACAGAUGGACCCGCGGCGCAUUAGCUAGUUGGUGAGGUAACGGCUCACCAAGGCGACGAUGCGUAGCCGACCUGAGAGGGUGAUCGGCCACACUGGGACUGAGACACGGCCCAGACUCCUACGGGAGGCAGCAGUAGGGAAUCUUCCGCAAUGGACGAAAGUCUGACGGAG
rnacentral:rRNA from 1 species